AUUGAACGCUGGCGGCAUGCUUUACACAUGCAAGUCGAACGGUAACAGGCCGCAAGGUGCUGACGAGUGGCGAACGGGUGAGUAAUGCAUCGGAAUGUGCCCAGUCGUGGGGGAUAACGCAGCGAAAGCUGUCCUAAUACCGCAUACGCUCUAUGGAUGAAAGCGGGGGACCGUAAGGCCUCGCGCGAUUGGAGCGGCCGAUGUCAGAUUAGGUAGUUGGUGGGGUAAAGGCUCACCAAGCCAACGAUCUGUAGCUGGUCUGAGAGGACGACCAGCCGCACUGGGACUGAGACACGGCGCAGACUCCUACGGGAGGCAGCAGUGGGGAAUUUUGGACAAUGGGCGCAGGCCUGAUCCAGCAAUGCCGCGUGCAGGAAGAAGGCCUUCGGGUUGUAAACUGCUUUUGUACGGAACGAAAAGGUUUGGGUUAAUACCCUGGGCCGAUGACGGUACCGUAAGAAUAAGCACCGGCUAACUACGUGCCAGCCGCCGCGGUAA
rnacentral:rRNA from 1 species